GUGAAUCAUCGAAUCUUUGAACGCAAAUUGCACUCUCCUCGAUUAGUGUGCGUGUUUCAGGGUCAGCCUAUAAAAAUCAACAUCCUUGCUGUUUCGGGGUGGCGUUCGGCGGUGAUUGGGUCGUCUUGAAUCCUUUUGAUUUAAGCGACUUAAAAUUUUCUUUUGGUUCCAUGAACGAUUCUAAGAUCUAUUUCUUAACACGUUUAAGGUAUCGAUGUUUACUAUACGGUACCAUCAUUGCGGAUCGCGUCCUUAAUCGUCAAUUAACUGAU
rnacentral:misc_RNA from 1 species